rnacentral:rRNA from 1 species
CCUACGGGUGGCAGCAGUGGGGAAUUUUGCGCAAUGCUCGUAAGAGUGACGCAGCGACGCCGCGUGAAUGACGAAGGCCUUCGGGUCGUAAAGUUCUUUCGUCAGGGAAGAAAAUGCCUAUAAGUAACUGUGUAUGUAUUGACGGUACCUGUAUAAGCAGCCCCGGCUAACUCCGUGCCAGCAGCCGCGGUAAUACGGAGGGGGCGAGCGUUGUUCGGAGUGAUUGGGCGUAAAGCGCACGUAGGCGGUGUUGUAAGUCUUGAGUCAAAGCCCAGGGGUCAACUUUGGUCAGGCUAGUGAUACUAUAAUACUAGAGUAUCAGAGAGGAAUGCAGAAUUCCAGGUGAAGCGGUGAAAUGCGUAGAUAUAAGGAGGAAUAC